ensembl:lncRNA
CCCCUUGCAUCCCACACUGCGCUGCCUGGUUUCUGAAGGUGUGAUUCUCUGCCUUCACUAUCAUCUUCUCUCUGUGGACCCCAAUUUUGUUCACCUGUAAUCCUCUUGUUGCCCCUUCUCCCCAUAGCCCUGCCCAUCUCCUCUGGCUCACUCUCACCCUGCACUCUUGAUGCUUGAAUCCAAACAUCGGGAGCAAACCAUGAGAUAGCAACGUGCGGGCACUGGGAUCUCUGAUGAGCUGAGGAUCAAAGAAGCAGAAGACGGCUGGAUUUGCAGGAGCUGUAUGGUCCCAAGACAGGAAGAACUCCCUGUUCUUUUGAGGAGAAAACCAAAUGAGGAACUAACAUACUCUCUGUCAUUCUGAGAUUUUGCUUGUAAUGUUCUCAAAUCUACAAAGGUUUCGAGAAGAAAUGUACAUGUGGCUAGCCCACCCCAGACAAGAAGGACUUGAAGAAAAUGUGAUGUUCCCUAUAUAGUUUCCAGUAAAUGAGAGUUGCUCAUCAUUUGAUCCUUCCAAACAUUUAUUUCUCUGUGCUGUGUCUUAGCCUGCAGCAGGCUCCAGUCUGGACUGUAAUUUUGGUUCUUAUACACCCAUCCAACAGCUUUGUUGUGGUAUUCCUUCUUAGAGAUCAUCCCACAUGGUACCAGAGUUUGCCACAGAGACAGGACUAAGUUUGAGACCAGUAUUCAGACUUUGGAUAUCAUCCGUAAGGAGCAGAGGAAGGAAACCAGGUCGGAGAAGCAGAUGUCUUUGAAAGAAGAUAAAAACAGAAAGGGCUGGGAGUCAGCCUCCUGCUGUGCUCCUUGGAUGACGCCUUUCCUGGCGGGCUGAGGGCUCACACACAGUUCAGUACACCUGGCACUGAGUAAACCAUUGAGAACAUCCUGGGAAUCUUCCUAAGGUAGCUUCAGCAGUGCCCAGAAGAGCCAGCUCCUCAGCAUCUCCACUGGGGACUUCAAAAAGAGCAGCAGAAGGAGCUUGACACCUACAUGUCUGAGGGCAAGAGAAGAACAGUGUUCCAUUAGCAUGAUGUUCAAGCUGUAAUUAAAUGUAGGCACUGCCAACUGCAACAUCUUUUAGAUAAAUGAGCAAGAACA